UACGUAGGGGGCAAGCGUUGUCCGGAAUCAUUGGGCGUAAAGAGCGCGUAGGCGGCCCGGUAAGUCCGCUGUGAAAGUCGGGGGCUCAACCCUCGAAUGCCGGUGGAUACUGUCGGGCUAGAGUACGGAAGAGGCGAGUGGAAUUCCUGGUGUAGCGGUGAAAUGCGCAGAUAUCAGGAGGAACACCUAUUGCGAAGGCAGCUCGCUGGGACGUAACUGACGCUGAGACGCGAAAGCGUGGGGAGCAAACAGG
rnacentral:rRNA from 1 species